CCUACGGGGGGCAGCAGUGAGGAAUAUUGGUCAAUGGUCGGGAGACUGAACCAGCCAAGCCGCGUGAGGGAGGAAGGUACAGAGUAUCGUAAACCUCUUUUGUCAGGGAACAAAGACUGGGACGCGUCCCCGGAUGAGUGUACCUGAAGAAAAAGCAUCGGCUAACUCCGUGCCAGCAGCCGCGGUAAUACGGAGGAUGCGAGCGUUAUCCGGUUUUAUUGGGUUAAAGGGGGGCGCAGGCGGUCUGUUAAGUCAGCGGGCAAAGCCCGGGGCUCAACCCCGGCCCGCCGUUGAAACUGGCAGUCUCGAGUUGGAGAGAGGUAUGCGGAAUGCGCGGUGUAGCGGUGAAAUGCAUAGAUAUCGCGCAGAACUCCGAUUGCGAAGGCAGCAUGCCGGCUCCACACUGACGCUGAGGCACGAAAGCGUGGGUAUCGAACAGGAUUAGAUACCCCGGUAGUC
rnacentral:rRNA from 1 species